ACAGUGCGAACGGAGGUUUGGGAGUGUUAGGAAAUUAAAUCAUCUCGAACCUGUCGGUUCAAGUACAUCUUCCCCUCCUUACCCCCCUCCCCACCUCCUUUGAUCCUUCCUGAUGUGGCCCACGGCCCAGAACUGGCACAUCUCUCCUCUGAGACUCUGGGACCUAGAGGAUCUGCCCUGUAUGAAUGAACAGAAGCUGCCCACAAUAGCAGCUAUUCACCAGAAGAGAGGUGGAAACCGGGACUUCCACUAAUACAGAAGAAAACAAAAAACUGGUGAAGAGAUGAUUGGAGACUUGGACCAUGUGAGUUUCAGAAGAUCAGGAGAGCAGCAUUCCACCAUCCAAGCUUUGCAGUCAUCCCAGCAUUGAGUAGCAAGGAGUGACCUUCUGGAGAGACCUUUGGGACCCAGCCCCGCAGUAGCUGAGACAAGACUUAUCCAAUGCUGACGCCACAUUUGGAAUUGAACUUGGUAUACCA